rnacentral:rRNA from 1 species
UACCGCUAUUGGAGUUCGAUUAAGCCAUGCGAGUCGCGAGAAAUUAGAUUCUCGGCGUACCGCUCAGUAACACGUGGGUAACCUGCCCUAUGCUGGAUAAUAACCUCGGGAAACUGAGUAUAAUGAUCCAUAGUUCACUACGCCUGGAACGGUGAGUGGACGAAAGCUCCGGCGGCAUAGGAUGGGCCUGCGGCGUAUCAGGUUGUAGGGGGUGUAACGUACCCUCUAGCCCUCUACGCGUACGGGUGUUGGGAGAUAUAGCCCGGAGAUGGGUUCUGAGACACGAAUCCAGACCCUACGGGGUGCAGCAGGCGCGAAAACUUGGCAAUGCGAGAAAUCGUGACCAGGGAACUCCAAGUGCAUCGGGUAAGACCGGUGCUUUUCUUGACUCUAAAUAGGUCUUGGAAUAAGGGGUGGGUAAGGACGGUGCCAGCCGCCGCGGUAAUACCGGCGCCUCAAGUGGUAGUCGCUUUUAUUGGGCCUAAAACGUCCGUAGCCGGUCUGAUACAUUCGUGGGUAAAUCAACCAGCUCAACUGGUUGAAUUCUGCGAGGACGGUCAGACUUGGGACCGGGAGAGGUGUGGGGUACGCUCAGGGUAGGGGUAAAAUCCUGUCAUCCUGAGCGGACCACCUGUUGCGAAGGCGCCACACUAGAACGGAUCCGACGGUCAGGGACGAAGCCUAGGGGCACGAACCGGAUUAGAUACCCGGGUAGUCCUAGGUGUAAACGCUGUGGACUUGAUGUUGGGGGUGCUCCGAGCACUCUCA